rnacentral:misc_RNA from 1 species
AGGUAGAAGCACGGACAAUGUCUGUAAAUAUUGAUUCUUUGAAGACGGAAGUUGAAAAAGAAAAAUCUUUGUCAUCAGAAAUGGAAGCUAAAUGUCAUGAAUUGGAAAACGACCUUAGAAAAAAAUCCCAGGAAGCUGAAGCUCAGCAAACUUCUGGUUCAAAUAGUGAAUUGAAAAUAAAACAGGAGGAUUUAGCCGUGGCUGCUGACAA